rnacentral:rRNA from 1 species
GGGGGGGGCAAGCGUUGUUCGGAAUUACUGGGCGUAAAGGGUUCGUAGGUGGCCCGCUAAGUCACACGUGAAAUCCCUCAGCUCAACUGGGGAACUGCGUGUGAGACUGGCGGGCUCGAGUGCAGGAGAGGAACGCGGAAUUCCAGGUGUAGCGGUGAAAUGCGUAGAUAUCUGGAGGAACACCGGUGGCGAAGGCGGCGUUCUGGACUGUAACUGACACUGAAAAACGAAAGCCAGGGGAGCAAACGGGAUUAGAUACCCCGGUAGUCCUGGCCCUAAACGAUGAAUGCUUGGUGUGACGGGUAUCGAUCCCUGUCGUGCCGAAGUUAACGCGUUAAGCAUUCCGCCUGGGGAGUACGGUCGCAAGGCUGAA